GUUUCUCGUCACUCCCUCUCCCCUUUUACGGGAGGCCGCAGUGGGGAAUUUUGGACAAUGGGCGAAAGCCUGAUCCUGCAAUACCGCUUGAAGGAUGAAGGCCUUCGGGUGGUAAACUGCUUUUGUACGUAGCGAAACAGUUUUUUUUAAUACGGGAGGAUAAUGACGGUACCCUAAGAAUAAGCCCCGGCUAACUUCGUGCCAGCAGCCGCGGUAAUACGUAGGGGGCAAGCGUUAUUCGGAAUUACUGGGCGUAAAGCGUGCGCAGGCGGUUUUGUAAGUCAGGUGUGAAAUCCCCGGGCUCAACCUGGGAACUGCAUUUGAUACUGCACAGCUAGAGUACGGGAGAGGGGGGUGGAAUUCCGCGUGUAGCAGUAAAAUGCGUAGAUAUGGGGAGGCACACGGAGGGCGAAGGCAGCUCCCUGGCCCUUUUCUGACGCUGAGGCACGAAAGCGUGGGGAGCACACGGGAUUAGAUCCCCUGGUAGUCCCCCCCUAUUCUAAUCAACUGUGUUGUCGGGAAUCCACCCUCAGUGACGAAGCUAACGCGAGAAGUCUCGCCU
rnacentral:rRNA from 1 species